rnacentral:rRNA from 1 species
AACCCUUAUUGCUAGUACCAUCAUUGAGUUGGGGACGUCUAGCGAGACUGCCAGUGAUAAACUGGAGGAAGGUGGGGAUGACGUCAAAUCAUCAUGCCCCUUAUGACCUGGGCUACAAACGUGAUACAAUGGCUGAAACAAAGGGCAGCGAAGCAGUGAUGUGGAGCGAAACCCAAAAAGCAGUCUCAGUUCGGAUUGAAGUCUGCAACUCGACUUCAUGAAGUCGGAAUCGCUAGUAAUCGCGGAUCAGAACGCCGCGGUGAAUACGUUCUCGGGGUUU